rfam:Myotis lucifugus cont2.41150, whole genome shotgun sequence.
GCUGGGGUAGCUCAGUGGAUUGAGCGUUGUUUCAUGGACCUAGAGGUCCUGGGUUCGAUUCCCAGUCAGAGCA